UCUCUCUCUCUCUCUCUCUCUCUGAUUCUUGUUGAUAUUGAUAGUUUUGUAUUUCGUGAAAACUUAGAUGAAGGUGAGACCUCAAGAACAUCCUUGGCGCUGGUGAUGUGGGCUUUUUCCAUAUAUUUGGAAGCAGUCGUCAGUCGUCACACUUCCUCAACUGGUGCUGUUGCGAAGGACAAGAAAUAUUGACAACUUAACAGGGCAAUAUGUAGUCCUCCUCGGCUUGGCCUAUUUUUGAAAGAUCUUACUAUCUCUAUUGAUAGCUUAUGGUUCAGCAACAAUGGGACAGCUCUAUUUCUUUCACAUGAUUCUCAUUAAGAAGGCCAUCCUGCCACCAGAUCUUGAAGAGAACCUGAGGCUGAGAUGUAAGGGCAGUAGGGCCACCAUUCAUGCACUUCGGCUCCGGUAGGAGAGGGAUAUAUAUAUAUAUUUUUUUGGGGUUAUUCAAUUCU